GAGAUUCAUUCUUAUUGGUGUUUUUCAUAUUGACAUCAAGUAUUUUUGUUUUGUUUUCAAGAGUAGUUCAUCUCGAUUAAACACGGAAUUAAUUAGUGACUAUCUCAGUUUAUAUUAACUUACUCUUAAUUAUCUUGAUGGCAAUUCAACUUAUCAAUGGAAUCAACUGUUAGUUGACAAUUUUUCUUCAUAGCUAAAGCCUCUUUAGUGACUGUUGUCUUAAGAGCAUAACAUUUAAUCAACCUGAUCUACAUCUUUUAUCGAUUGUAGUUUCACAGCACUUUUUUCAGAUGAAAAAAAAGCCUAUCUUGUCACCGCCAACUCUUAAUGCUUUGAUGCAAAAAUAGGAAUCAAUUUUGAUAUCAAUUGUAACAAAAUCCCAUGAUUUAGGAGCUCUAAUAUCCUGGUGUUAAUUUUCCCGUCUGGAUAAAAGGUUUGUUUCAACAGUAAUUCUGUGAAUUGAAAGUGAAUCAUUUUGAUUUGGGAAACAAAUGAUUUCGUCCCAUGAAUAUAUGAAUUAUGAGAGGUUUUGCUGUGAUUACUCUCAAUUUUACCCUCAGCUCUUCAGUUGAUAGUUUAAUAAACUGAUUCAGAUAUAGAUUAGCUGAUUUUUGUUGAAUAGUUUUUAAUGAAGAGCUGAUAAAUUGGGAAAGAUCAGAGUUAGAUUAUGUUAAAUGAAAUGUAUUUAUCACAUUUUUGUGAUACAUUUCAAGGAUUGAAAAGGUGUUCUACCUUCAAAAAGCAACUAUAAUCAAAGUAAUACCAUUAAGAUUGAUGUCAAAAAAAUCUUUAAUCUCAUUUAAUUGUUACAUUAAUCAAGACGUCAAAACACAAGGGUUUACAUCAAACAUAACAAUUAGUCCUUACAAAGGCCCAACCGAGCAACAGAAACCUAAAGCUGUAUAUGAAUCCAUUUUUACAGUCCUAAGGAGAUGUUUGUAAAAAGCAAGUUAAAUUGUUAUCCUCUCAAUUAAACAAUUUGUACUAAUAAAUAAUGCUUUAUACGUUUA